rnacentral:rRNA from 1 species
CUACCGGGAUUGCCUUAGUAACGGCGAGUGAAGCGGCAAUAGCUCAAAUUUGAAAUCUGGCUUUUUGCCCGAGUUGUAAUUUGCAGAGGAUGCUUCGAGAGCGAGUACGGUUUAAGUCCAUUGGAACAUGGGGUCAUAGAGGGUGAGAAUCCCGUACUUGACUAGUGCUCAAUCUCAAACGUAGCUCCUUCGACGAGUCGAGUUGUUUGGGAAUGCAGCUCUAAAUGGGUGGUAAAUUUCAUCUAAAGCUAAAUACCGGCCAGAGACCGAUAGUGCACAAGUAGAGUGAUCGAAAGAUGAAAAGCACUUUGGAAAGAGAGUCAAAAAGUACGUGAAAUUGUUGAAAGGGAAGCGUUGGCAACCAGACCUGUCCACACGCGAUCAAUCCCCGUUCUCGGUGGUGCACUCGUUUGUGAUCAGGCCAGCAUCAGUUCAAGCGGUUGGAUAAAGGUCGUAGGAAUGUAGCAUCCCUCGGGGUGCUUUAUAGCCUUUGACGUAAUACAGCCAGCCUGGACUGAGGAAUGCGCUUCGGCUUGGAUGUUGGCGUAAUGGUUGUCAACGGCCCGUCUUGAAACACGGACCAAGGAGUCUAACAUCUAUGCGAGUGUUUGGGUGUCAAACCCGUGCGCGUAAUGAAAGUGAACGGAGGUGAGAGCCUUUGGGUGCAUCAUCGACCGAUCCAGAUGUCUUCGGAUGGAUUUGAGUAUGAGCAUAGCUGUUGGGACCCGAAAGAUGGUGAACUAUGCCUGAAUAGGGUGAAGCCAGAGGAAACUCUGGUGGAGGCUCGCAGCGGUUCUGACGUGCAAAUCGAUCGUCAAAUU